rnacentral:pre_miRNA from 1 species
CAUUAGUUGUCUAUAUGUACCCUGUAGAACCAAAUUUGCGUGCUGCACAAACAUUCGCAAAUACGUCUCUACAGGAAUACAUGGGCAACUGGAAUACCUCG